rnacentral:rRNA from 1 species
AGCAGUCGCCGCGGUAAUACGUAGGUGGCAAGCGUUGUCCGGAAUUAUUGGGCGUAAAGCGCGCGCAGGCGGAUCAGUCAGUCUGUCUUAAAAGUUCGGGGCUUAACCCCGUGAUGGGAUGGAAACUGCUGAUCUAGAGUAUCGGAGAGGAAAGUGGAAUUCCUAGUGUAGCGGUGAAAUGCGUAGAUAUUAGGAAGUACACCAGUGGCGAAGGCGACUUUCUGGACGAAAACUGACGCUGAGGCGCGAAAGCCAGGGGAGCGAACAGGAUUAGAUACCCCUGUAGUCCCUGUCUCUUAUACA